rnacentral:piRNA from 1 species
UUGUAAUAAACUUCUGUCACUGAA